rnacentral:rRNA from 1 species
CGCAUCUGUGCAUGCAGCAUAUCAAUAAGCGGAGGAAAAGAAACUAACAAGGAUUCCCCUAGUAACGGCGAGUGAAGCGGGAAGAGCUCAAAUUUGAAAUCUUAAAGGGUUUCCCUUUACGAAUUGUAGUUUAAAGAAGUGUUUUCUGUUGAGGUUUUGGUAAAAGUUCUUUGGAAUAGGACAUCAUAGAGGGUGUGAAUCCCGUAUUUGACCUUUACUUUCAACUUUGUGAUACACUUUCAAAGAGUCGGAUUGUUUGGGAAUGCAGUCCAAAAUGGGUGGUAAAUUUCAUCUAAAGCUAAAUAUUGGCGAGAGACCGAUAGCGAACAAGUACCGUGAGGGAAAGAUGAAAAGAACUUUGAAAAGAGAGUUAAACAGUACGUGAAAUUGUCAAAAGGGAAGCGUUUGACACCAGUGUUGUUUUUACUGAAAAUCAAUUAAAGAACUGUUUAUGCUAAGCUGUUUAGACUUUAUCAGCUAACUGUUUAGUUUUGAGCUUUUCUUUAAUGCACUUUUCAGUUAACAAGUCAACAUCAAUUUCUUUUGCUGUAAAAAAGCUUGAGGAAGGUGGCUUGAGAUUCGUCUUAAGUGUUUAUAGCCUCUUGCCUAUGCAGUCGGAGAGAUUGAGGUCUGCAGCGUAGAUCCUUCGGGGCUAAAUGCAUUUGUGCUAAGUUAUAGCAUUUUAUAGACAACUUGUUGACUAUGAUUUGUCUUGUAGCUUACUCGCUUAUGUUAUUUUACCUACGCUUAGGAUGUUGACAGCAGUAUAGACUG